AAGCUUAUGUUUAGGAGGGGGGGAGGGAAGAGGUUAUGGUAAGGAACUGAUGGAGUGGCUAUGUUUUAGGACCGGGACGGAUGGAGGGGCGAGACGGAUCAUCAUUUAGGCCAAACGGGGCUAUGGAGGAAAGCCUAAAGAUCCACCUUCUCUCAGCAGCUCUCCUCUGGACCAGGGACCAACCGACAUUGGUCUCUAGACCGGACAAUGAAAAGUUGUUGAUAUGAUGUGAGAUGAAACGGUCCUGCAUAGUUUGCACUGGAUGGCGUAGACGACAUUGCAGGAGAGUAGUGUGAAGGUCUGCGAGAUGGGGGCACCGGCUCGACAGUUGAAGAUGUACUUCAGGGAGAACGGGCCGGCCUGGCUGGAAGAGGGCGGUCACUUCCCCUUUAAUGGUCAGAAGAAAACGUUUGGAAUAGCCGCGAGGUCUAAGGGCCUUGAAAAGGGUCCUGGUGGCCUCCUCUACGUGAUGAGGUAGAGAGCAGAUGCGGUGGAAACGGAUUAGUUGUGACUUGAUGAUGGAGCUGAAAGUAUGCCGGGGAUGGUAGCUGGUGUUAAAUAAUAAGGAAUGCCUGUCAGUGUCUUUAAAAUAAACCUUGGUGGCUAAUGUUUUGUGUCCAUCCUUCGUCUCUGUGAAAAAAACUAUCGUGUCAAGGAAGGGGACCUGCCGAAGAUGGAGAGUGUGUUUGAGUUUGAUACGGGGGUGGUGUGAGUUGAGGAUAUGCAUAAAGUGGUUGAAUUCCGUUUCGGAUUUGUCCCAGAGUCCAAAGAUAUCAUCUAGAUAGCGGAAAUAAAUUAAGGGGCGUGACGGGCAUUUAAGAAAUGCAGAUUCCUCCCAGUCGGCCAGAUAAAUGUCCGCGUAGGCCGG